AUGGUCGUCUUUGAUUUGCAGCGUCCUUUCCUGCAUUUGCUCACGUGGGAGGAAGCCCCGCGGGGUGUAGCUGCUGCCUGGUUCAGCAGAAGGCUGUGCCGUGCAGGCCUCCUGCGUGCUGGGUCGGCCCGCCCCCGGCCCUCCAAGACAGGAGAGGAGAAGGGCUCUCCACUGGAGCUGACAGACCCCGACCCGGCCACCUGGCCUGUUGAUGGCCAUGCAGACCUGACUGGCACCAUCAUCCCUGGCUCACAGGAGCAGCAGAGGCAGCUGGAUGCCCAUUCCUGCCAGCCAGUCCUUAUCCAUCUGCCAGCCUGUCAGCCACAGUCAGAGGCUGCCUUCCCCAUGGAGCAGGGAUGGUCGGUGGCCUUUCCCCUCUCUCAGGCCCAUGUGGAGCCUAGGCUGCACUUGAUUUAUUUAUCGUCAUUAUUUCUCUGCCACAACUGUGCAGUUGAAUUUAAUUUUGGUCAGAAGGAAAAGCCAUAUUUUCCAAUACCUGAAGAGUAUACUUUUAUCCAGAAUGUCCCCUUAGAGGAUCGAGUUAGAGGACCAAAGGGGCCUGAAGAGAAGAAAGAUUGUGAAGUUGUGAUGAUGAUUGGCUUGCCAGGAGCUGGAAAAACUACUUGGGUUACUAAGCAUGCAGCAGAAAAUCCAGGGAAAUACAACAUUCUUGGCACAAAUACUAUUAUGGAUAAAAUGAUGGUGGCAGGUUUUAAGAAGCAAAUGGCAGAUACUGGAAAACUGAACACACUGUUGCAGAGAACCCCACAGUGUCUUGGGAAAUUUAUUGAGAUUGCUGCCCGAAAGAAGCGAAAUUUUAUUCUGGAUCAGACAAAUGUGUCUGCUGCUGCCCAGAGGAGAAAAAUGUGCCUGUUCGCAGGCUUCCAGCGAAAAGCUGUUGUAGUUUGCCCAAAAGAUGAGGACUAUAAGCAAAGAACACAGAAGAAAGCAGAAGUAGAGGGGAAAGACCUACCAGAACAUGCGGUCCUCAAAAUGAAAGGAAACUUUACCCUCCCAGAGGUAGCUGAGUGCUUUGAUGAAAUAACCUAUGUUGAACUUCAGAAGGAAGAAGCCCAAAAACUUUUGGAGCAAUAUAAGGAAGAAAGCAAAAAGGCUCUUCCACCAGAAAAGAAACAGAACACUGGCUCAAAGAAAAGCAAUAAAAAUAAGAGUGGCAAGAACCAGUUUAACAGAGGUGGUGGCCAUAGAGGACGUGGAGGAUUCAAUAUGCGUGGUGGAAAUUUCAGAGGAGGAGCCCCUAGGAAUCGUGGCGGAUAUAAUAGGAGGGGCAACAUGCCACAGAGAGGUGGCGGCGGCGGCGGAAGUGGUGGAAUCGGCUAUCCGUACCCUCCUGCCCCUGUGUUUCCUGGCCGUGGUAGUUAUUCAAACAGAGGGAACUACAGCAGAGGUGGAAUGCCCAACAGAGGGAACUACAACCAGAACUUCAGAGGACGAGGAAACAAUCGUGGCUACAAAAAUCAAUCUCAGGGCUACAACCAGUGGCAGCAGGGUCAAUUCUGGGGUCAGAAGCCAUGGAGUCAGCAUUAUCACCAAGGAUAUAAUUGAAUACCCAAAUAAAACGAACUGAUACAUAUUUCUCCAAAACCUUCACAAGAAGUCGACUGUUUCUUUAGUAGGCUAACUUUUUAAACAUUCCACAAGAGGAAGUGCCUGCGGGUUCCUUUUUUAGAAGCUUUGUGGGUUGAUUUUUUUUCUUUUCUUUUUGUACAUUUUUAAUUGCAGUUUAAAAGUGAAUCGUAAGAGAACGUCAGCAUUGUGCACGAUAAGAGAAUGUGUCAGUAUUUCAGGGUUCUACAUUUUAUCUGUAAAAUGUGACUUUUUUUUUUUAUCACAACAGAAGUAAAAUGUUGCUUUGUACCUGGUGUCUUUUAUUAAGAAUUUACUCCCCCCAUUUCUCUCAGAGAAUAACAGUCGGGAGUCAUUGUCACAAUAUAAUAGAAAUGUUAGCAACCGGAUUCAUGUAAGGACUAAAUGGUCCUCAUGAAUUGCAUUAAGACUCUGUACUGCUCAUAUUACACUCCAUCCUCUCUGUAGUUUGCUGGGUAGUGGAGGGGGUAAGCUAAAUCGUAGUUUCUGACAAUAACUGGGAAGGAUUUUUCUUAAAUAACAAUGGAAUUGGUAUAAUUGGGAUUGAAAACCAAAACUUGGAACUAAGAUAGAGAAGAUGGAGUGUAUGUAGAAGGGCUGUUAAAAAUGUAAACCUUGGUUGCAUUAUUUGUGGAGGCUCAAACUUGUGAAGGUUAAAUACCAUAAUUUUUCCAUUUGUUCUGCAUUUUGAUUCUGAAAAGAAAGCUGGCUUUGCCCAUUUCUUAUUAAAAAAACUUGUUGUAAAAAAAAAAAAA